AUUUUUCCAAAAAUUGCGUGGGAAAUUUUUGAAAUUACUAGAGAUAAUUUAUUCAGUAUAAAAUGCAUUUUUGCAUCAAUAGGAUUAUUCUAUUUAACGCAUCGCUAUUUUCUUUCCAAUAUAUGGUACACAAUGGAAGAUACAUAUAACUUUUUUUGCGAUACUUUACUUUUACAUACCAUUUUGGUUAGUCAUUUUUACUCAUAUGAGUGUGUAUUAGAGUAAAAUAUAUUAGUAUGUAUAUUAUUAAACGGUGUUAUUAUGAAUUGGUUUUAUGAAAGAACCAAACGUAAAUUAUUUUAUCUUAAUGUAUUUCUAUAUUUAUCAUUUAUAUUUAGAAUCCACCGAAGUCCGAUGAGAUAUUUAAUUUAGACGAAUGCAAAUUAUUAUUUGAAGUCUUUCACACAGUGUAUAUGGAAAAUCUUGCAUUACUUCGACUUGCUUGCUUACCAUGUCACAAUCUUAAAAUGAGUCUAAAUGAUGUAACCACUUAUUUAGCAGCAUGACUUAUUAUCUUUGUACUAUUUAUAAAUGCACUGAUAAUUAAGAAAAAUAAAGUAAUUCUUUUUAUAUGAUUAAUACAAGUUAUUAUUAAAAAUAUACAAUUACGAAGAUAUAUAAAAAAACAGGGUAUAUUAAUCAUAACAUUAAUGCAUAAAUUCUUUACAAAUUUCAGUGGUAAACAAUAUUGAUUAUUAUUCUAUCUUAUUAUUCUAUCAUACAUCGAUUUGAUUCGACUAUGCUAUGACAGAUUUUAUUAUACAUUGUCAUUUGCUUGCAGAUGAUUGAUAACCACAAUCUCGAUUUUCAUCUACUCCACUAUUAUUCUUUGAUUUAUUAGCUAUGUUUGUGUGCCACCAUUGAUUAUUUUUUCUCAAUUGAUUUGUUAUAUAUUCCAUCUUAGGAAACCACCAAGAAUUGCCGCACACUGAAGUGCGACGUACAGAUUUAAUCGGGUAUAUCGAGGAUUUCUAAACAUAUAAGGGAAAGUUAAAUUUUUUCCUAUAUAAAAUUUUAUAUUACAAAAAUAUUAAGAUUUUAUAGUUUAUAUCUUAAUAUUAAAGUUUAUUACAAAUAUAAGAGAUACUUCUAUGAAUGCAUCCAGUUUGAUUUAUAUCUUUAUAUGUAAUGUAAUGUAUAAUAAGUUUUAAUGAUAUUUAAUGAUA